AAAUUGAAGAGUUUGAUCAUGGCUCAGAUUGAACGCUGGCGGCAGGCCUAACACAUGCAAGUCGAACGGUAACAGGAAGAAGCUUGCUUCUUUGCUGACGAGUGGCGGACGGGUGAGUAAUGUCUGGGAAACUGCCUGAUGGAGGGGGAUAACUACUGGAAACGGUAGCUAAUACCGCAUAACGUCGCAAGACCAAAGAGGGGGACCUUCGGGCCUCUUGCCAUCGGAUGUGCCCAGAUGGGAUUAGCUAGUAGGUGGGGUAACGGCUCACCUAGGCGACGAUCCCUAGCUGGUCUGAGAGGAUGACCAGCCACACUGGAACUGAGACACGGUCCAGACUCCUACGGGAGGCAGCAGUGGGGAAUAUUGCACAAUGGGCGCAAGCCUGAUGCAGCCAUGCCGCGUGUAUGAAGAAGGCCUUCGGGUUGUAAAGUACUUUCAGCGGGGAGGAAGGGAGUAAAGUUAAUACCUUUGCUCAUUGACGUUA
rnacentral:rRNA from 1 species